rnacentral:rRNA from 1 species
GUUAAGCGACUAAGCGUACACGGUGGAUGCCCUGGCAGUCAGAGGCGAUGAAGGGCGUGCUAAUCUGCGAUAAGCGCCGGUAAGGUGAUAUGAACCGUUAUAACCGGCGAUACCCGAAUGGGGAAACCCAGUGUGAUUCGUCACACUAUCAUUAACUGAAUCCAUAGGUUAAUGAGGCGAACCGGGGGAACUGAAACAUCUAAGUACCCCGAGGAAAAGAAAUCAACCGAGAUUCCCCCAGUAGCGGCGAGCGAACGGGGAGGAGCCCAGAGCCUGAAUCAGCAUGUGUGUUAGUGGAAGCGUCUGGAAAGGCGCGCGAUACAGGGUGACAGCCCCGUACACAAAAGCGCAUGUGCUGUGAGCUCGAUGAGUAGGGCGGGACACGUGGUAUCCUGUCUGAAUAUGGGGGGACCAUCCUCCAAGGCUAAAUACUCCUGACUGACCGAUAGUGAACCAGUACCGUGAGGGAAAGGCGAAAAGAACCCCGGCGAGGGGAGUGAAAAAGAACCUGAAACCGUGUACGUACAAGCAGUGGGAGCACCCUUUUGGGUGUGACUGCGUACCUUUUGUAUAAUGGGUCAGCGACUUAUAUUCUGUAGCAAGGUUAACCGAAUAGGGGAGCCGGAGGGAAACCGAGUCUUAAUUGGGCGUUAAGUUGCAGGGUAUAGACCCGAAACCCGGUGAUCUAGCCAUGGGCAGGUUGAAGGUUGGGUAACACUAACUGGAGGACCGAACCGACUAAUGUUGAAAAAUUAGCGGAUGACCUGUGGCUGGGGGUGAAAGGCCAAUCAAACCGGGAGAUAGCUGGUUCUCCCCGAAAGCUAUUUAGGUAGCGCCUCGUGAAUUCAUCUCCGGGGGUAGAGCACUGUUUCGGCUAGGGGGCCAUCCCGGCUUACCAACCCGAUGCAAACUGCGAAUACCGGAGAAUGUUAUCACGGGAGACACACGGCGGGUGCUAACGUCCGUCGUGAAGAGGGAAACAACCCAGACCGCCAGCUAAGGUCCCAAAGUCAUGGUUAAGUGGGAAACGAUGUGGGAAGGCCCAGACAGCCAGGAUGUUGGCUUAGAAGCAGCCAUCAUUUAAAGAAAGCGUAAUAGCUCACUGGUCGAGUCGGCCUGCGCGGAAGAUGUAACGGGGCUAAACCAU